rnacentral:rRNA from 1 species
UACGAAGGGGGCUAGCGUUGUUUGGAAUUACUGGGCGUAAAGGGCGCGUAGGCGGGAUGGCAAGUCGGUCGUGAAAUCCCUCGGCUCAACCGAGGAACGUCGAUCGAUACUGCUGUUCUUGAGGAUUGCAGAGGAGACUGGAAUUCCCGGUGUAGCGGUGAAAUGUGUAGAGAUCGGGAGGAACACCGGUGGCGAAGGCGGGUCUCUGGGCAAUUCCUGACGCUGAGGCGCGAAAGCGUGGGGAGCAAACGGG